GAGCCACCCAGGUGCCCCUUACUCUUAUCUUUUUAAUGAAAUACUAACAAGGAGGGUCCAGUUCUUAAUACUGAGACUCAAGAGGAGGAUGCAUGGGGGAGAGGAACUUGCAGGUACCGUCACGCAGCUGUAAGCAGAUCGGAUCUCGCAGAUUUGCAGUGUCUCACUCGGCUGACUUUCUCAGCCAGCCAGUGUCGGAAGGCUCAGAGGGCCACACCACCAUCAACCACACAGCUGCACCUGCGUUUGCUGUAACUCUUGUCAGCCUUGUCUAGGUCCAGACACCUGCUAGCCGGCACUCCGACAUACGAGAACUUAAUGAAGCAAAGAAAAUUCCCUGAAGUAGGACAACAGUGUCUUGUAUGAAUAUGCAAGAGAAUAAACAACCAUACAAGAAGGCAGAGUUUUGGAGUAUGUGUGUGUGUAAAAGGGUGCUUUUAGGCUGACUCUCAAUCUUUUGACAAAAUCUGCUUCAGAGGGAUGCCUGGGUGGCUCAGUUGUUAAGCAUCUGCCUUCGGCUCAGG